GAUGAACGCUGGCGGCGUGCCUAAUACAUGCAAGUCGAGCGAACAGAUGAGGAGCUUGCUCCUCUGACGUUAGCGGCGGACGGGUGAGUAACACGUGGAUAACCUACCUAUAAGACUGGGAUAACUUCGGGAAACCGGAGCUAAUACCGGAUAAUAUAUUGAACCGCAUGGUUCAAUAGUGAAAGACGGUUUUGCUGUCACUUAUAGAUGGAUCCGCGCCGCAUUAGCUGGUUGGUAAGGUAACGGCUUACCAAGGCAACGAUGCGUAGCCGACCUGAGAGGGGGAUCGGCCACACUGGAACUGAGACACGGUCCAGACUCCUACGGGAGGCAGCAGUAGGGAAUCUUCCGCAAUGGGCGAAAGCUUGACGGAGCAACGCCGCGUGAGUGAUGAAGGUCUUCGGAUCGUAAAACUCUGUUAUUAGGGAAGAACAAAUGUGUAAGUAACUAUGCACGUCUUGACGGUACCUAAUCAGAAAGCCACGGCUAACUACGUG
rnacentral:rRNA from 1 species